rnacentral:pre_miRNA from 1 species
AAAGUACUCCCUCUGUCCCAAAAUUCUUGUCUUGGAUUUGUCUAGAUACGGAUGUAUCAAGUCACAUUUUAGUAUUAGAUACAUCCGUAUCUAGACAAAUCUAAGACAAGAAAUUUGGGAUAGAGGGAGUAGUUG